rnacentral:rRNA from 1 species
AGUGAACGCUGGCGGUAGGCCUAACACAUGCAAGUCGAACGGCAGCACAGUAAGAGCUUGCUCUUACGGGUGGCGAGUGGCGGACGGGUGAGGAAUACAUCGGAAUCUACUUUUUCGUGGGGGUUAACGUAGGGAAACUUACGCUCAUACCGCAUACGACCUACGGGUGAAAGCAGGGGAUCUUCGGACCUUGCGCGAUUGAAUGCGCCGAUGUCGGAUUAGCUAGUUGGCGGGGUAAAGGCCAACCUAGGCGCCGAUCCGUAGCUGGUCUGAGAGGAUGAUCGGCCACACUGGAGCUUGGACACGGUCAUGACUCCUACGGGAGGCAGCAGUGGGGAAUAGUGGACAAUGGGCGCAAGCCUGAUCCAGCCAUACCGCGUGGGUGAAGAAGGCCUUCGGGUUGUAAAGCCCUUUUGUUGGGAAAGAAAAGCAGCAGGUUAAGACCCCGCUGUUCUGACGGUACCCAAAGAAGAAGCACCGGCUAACUUCGUG